CCUCGGGUGGCUGCAGUGGGGGAUAUUGCACAAUGGGGGAAACCCUGAUGCAGCGACGCCGCGUGUGGGAAGACGGUCCUCUGGAUUGUAAACCACUGUCCCCAGGGACGAAAAUGACGGUACCUGGGGAGGAAGCUCCGGCUAACUACGGACCAGCAGCCGCGGUAAUACGUAGGGAGCUAGCGUUGUCCGGAAUUACUGGGUGUAAAGGGGGCGUAGGCGGGGAUGCAAGUUGGGUGUCAAAACUACCGGCUCAACUGGUAGUCGCACUCAAAACUGCAGCUCUUGAGUGAAGUAGGGGCAGGCGGAAUUGCUAGUGUAGCGGUGAAAUGCGUAGAUAUUAGGAGGAACACCAGUGGCGAAGGCGGCCUGCUGGGCUUUUACUGACGCUGAGGCUCGAAAGUGUGGGGAGCAAACAGGAUUAGAUACCCGGGUAGUC
rnacentral:rRNA from 1 species